ensembl:lncRNA
AAGGCAGUCUGAAUAUGUAUUCUCAGCUCAUUUAGCACACAUUAUUACACAAUUAACAGUGUUCAAAAACCUCCCCGUCAGAAGGUUGUUGCCUGUUCAUCUGACCUCCUUUUGCUUUUGUUUUGCAAUCAGCAGGGAAAUAAAGGGAGACGGGAAGGAGCCAGAAAACAUCUGCUAAGAAGAGGCGAAUCACAGCGCUCCACGUCCGCCUCCAUCCUCAACUAUUUCUCUUUGUUUGAGCACAUGAUACAGCAUUAAAUAUGACUUUACCAGUAAUGCUCAGAGUAAUGCAUCCUACAGAGGUUUGUUUCUAUUAAACAGAUUUGUGCGUCCCUCUUCCUAUUGUCCAGCACACAGCGAUCAGUGUUCAAGCGACAGAAACAGAAAGCCGUUUUGGUUCAGAUACAUUUGUUUUGAAAGUGCUCUGUCAGUUGACUCACCCCUCCAUCCUGACCUCUUCCCUUUGGGGACUUGGUCGCUGUUUAAACUACGCUGCUGACUUCUUUGAACCUGAGAGCCACAGCAACAGCAUUGACAGCGCUGGCCGGGCUGCGCUUUCUCGCUCAGGUAGACAGAACUCCAGUUAACCUUUCCUAUUGUCAGAGUCUCAAUAUUAGAUAGAGACCCAGAACUUGUCUGGGGGAUUGAAUGGUUGGGCCUCCAAAAUUGCAGCUGGCCAUUAGUUGCAGCAGAAUCAGGAGACUUUAUUUCAGGAUUUAAAUUGCCAAAAAUAAUCAUUGUCAAUUGCGCCUCAUCAUGCCUGAAAAGGAAGCUCUAGCAGAAUGACGUCACUGCUAGUGUGUGUGUGUGUGUGUGUGUGUGUGUGUCUGAACCUGGUUCAGACGACCAUCUCCCAGUAAUUUCAUAUUUACUUAUAUUCAGUUAAAAACUCAUCUUUUUCUUCCUCUGCUAGAAUGAAAGAAAUUGGUUAAUUGUUGAAUUAUUUUUAUGUAUUAAUACGCGUGAUAAUUACGUUUAAUUCUGUCAAGGCCAUUUUCAUCAAACAGAUCAAUUUGUAGUAUUUUUGUGCUACAGGCACAUGGAAGCAGUGCUAUAUAGGCCAAUGGAUCUAUUUACUGUUGCUCUACGCACUCCAGAGAUCAGGCUCUCUGCACUAGAAAUGAAACAGUGACUUUCAUUGUUCCAAACUAAGAAAGAAGAGCACAAACACAAGAGUUUGCACCGACUCUAAGUAACAGAAGCACUGCAGUGAGGCUUUUUGAAGGAAUUAGAAAUGAUUGCUUUGUGUUUACAUGAGUGAAAAGGAUGAUUGAAGGGGAAGGUUACUUGUUAAUGUUAAUUCAUGUUGGUUGAUAACUAUGAAAAAGUCAAACGUGGUGCGUAUUCCGGUACCUUACUCCACAAUAUAUAAACUAAAGAUGGUAAAUAGUUGUUUACUCCAAUAUGCAUGCUCUUAAUAGGGUAUAUAGAGUAAAGUUCAACAGCCGAGAGAAAUGCGGUAACCUCUGUAUAUUGUUACCGCAUUUCUCUCUAAAAAGAACAAUGUUGCAACAAUAUUUGUCUGCUCCCCACUCAUCUUAGAGCGAGGAUGCAUUCUUGUGCUCAUUUCCAAAGAAGCUCCAAAGGACAACGUGUUCACAGUAUAAAUAUUUACAUUUUACCAAUAAAUUGCAAUUAAAUGUAUUUAUAUAUACAGUAUAUACACGUGUAGCAUUAAGUAAAAGUAAGUAAAUCACCCUUUUGCUCAUGCACAAAGCUCCUCUCCUUUUGCAUUUCCUCCGUCUCUCUGUGCUUCUUUUCCUUAUCUUACUCCUGCAUGCAGAGAGAGGAAGAGCUGAAGGAGAGAAAGGAAGACAACGGCCAAUUGAGAGAGAGAGAGAAUGCAAAUGUAGACAGAUGGUAAAUACUUCCCUCCUGUAGGGAACCAUGUCAGACUGCAGAGCACUGCUGCACUGCAUGACAAGAUCGGGCAGGAAGACCGUGUGUGUGUGUGUGUGUGUGUGUGUGUGUGUGUGUGUGUGUGCGUCUGUGACUAGGCAGCAGGCUCUCAGUGAAAGUAGGUGAAAGGGCUUUUCUGUUAGAGCGAGGCAGUGCAGAGUUGAGCAGAGCAGGGGAUAACAUAUAAUCUACACUCCCCCCGCCAUCUUUGCCAAGGGGGUGGGGUUGGGAGAUGGAUCGACAUGGGAGGAGAAGGGAGGGGGGGAGGGGGGGGCAGGAUGAGAGGAAAGAUUCGGAAGUCACUUGAUUAACUUUUUGAGUAGAGGCAGCAGUUUCUGGGUCUGAAGACGUCAUCCUUUCAGUUCACAUAUAGGGCUGUAAAAAGAACAGCGGCUGGAUCCAUUCUCAAACACAAGCUUGCCUACAGCGGUUUGUACCACAUGGAAGUUAAGUAUUAAGCUAAAUAUUGUGGAGAAAUCAAUUCGUUUCAAACACAACCCUUUGUGUCACAAUUUAACAUUACUCGUGCACCAGUUUCUAAGGAAAGGUAUUGGUAGGUGGAUCCAAAGCUCACCAGUUUGGCUCCCCUUCUAUCACAAUGUGGUGUAAUUGCUGAGGAAAAUAAGCAGAUAUUAUAUCUUUAUUAAUGGUCUAAUAACAAAUGUCUAUUUACCUUUGGGCUUGAAAUGCUACAUAUAAACAUGGUCAGACAAACACCAACUGUCACAAACGGCACAAACAACCGUAACAUUAAAAUUCAUGUAGUUCCUCUUUAGAGAACAUCAAUAAUAAGACUGGAGUUUGAAGGAAGGGUUCAUACUUUUGUAGCAUACUUUCAAGUCCUCUGUUACGUAACGCUGAGGUGUUUGGCUGCGGGAGAGACUUUCCGUUCACUGGGGAGGAAUCUGCUUUCACUGCCUCACAAGACGAAGCUAUAAAAAGAUAAGGAUUCAGUGUGUGUGUGUUUGUGUUUUUGUGUGUAUUAUAUGUGCGUUGGUGCAGUUGCCUAUGUGAGUUGGCUGCAGGCAUGAACUGGAAACGACAAUCAACAAUUACAGGCAGGCAGGCGUGGGGAUGGAGGCAGUGGAGGGGGAUGUUUAGCAGGAAGGAGAGAAAUGACUCAGGGCUUGUGUGCUUGGUUAGGUCAGAUAAUUAAUUGCUGACUGGAGACGGGGGGGGGGGGGGGGGGGUAAACCAAGAAAGCCGAGGUCACUUGAGGGCCACUUGCCUCACCGGAUUAGAUGGAUGAAAACAGCUAAACCAAACAAAGGGGCUAAACACACAGAAACUGAUACGUGAAGACAUCUUUAUCUUCAAAUGAAAGAGGGUUGAGCUCCAGGUUGUUAAUUAGAAGUAAAGUUGUGAUAAAAAGUAUUUGGAGAAAGCGUUUUGUCCACAUUUGGGUGACACACAGGUUUAGUUGAACAGUCGCUGACUACGCUUUGACGCAGAUCGUCUAUUGACAAAACCUCCCGGGACAAAUUGCACAAUUGUUAUUUUUUGUUUUAUAGGUGCGAGCAGUCCAGACAUAAAUGGAUUGUAUUAAUAAUCAUAGUGAGUAAAGAAGUAACAAGUGGGUUACAUUACAACUUAAAUGUUAAUGACUUAUGACAAUGAUUAACAAUAAACAUCACGCCUGUUUUCAAUUAAUGUGCAAUUUAUUAAUCCUAACAAGCAAAGAGAUCUUAAAACUGAGUCAAUGGAUCACCGUAUCUGUUCAGAACCCAGAGGUCACGUCUGCAUCUGCAUCAUUUGGGAUGGCCCGUCACUGCAAACACGAUAUCUCAUGAACUCCAACAGAGAAUUUGGGCAACACAACGACUUGGACUCAUGGAUGAACGCGUUAGAAUGUUUUGUUAGCAUCUCACCACAGUGGGAUAUUGGUUGCAAAUCUGGAUCUGGGAUCUGAAUCAAUAGACAGAAGACGGCCAGCUACAUUAGAUAAUCGAUUGUUUCAGAAACAUUUGUCAAACUGGAGUGUUAAAAGUUAAAGGCGUGUCAUUUUUUUAUCAAAAACAUGACAGCCUUGUUUGAAGGGCUCCAUGCAGUUAAAUAUACUCUUUUUGCAGCAUCCUUACAUAAUAGACACAAGGCACAACAAGCGAAAUAUUGUAACAUAUACAUUUAAAUCCAGGGUACCCGCUGACCAUCUGAAAGCUGACGUCCUCAUACUGCUGUGCUGCAUUUUCUCAAGAGCAUCCGAGUGUGUUUGUGUGAGUUGGGGGUGGGCAGGGUGCAGGUGGUGUUCAGGGAAUGGUGAGAAGGAAUAAAUGGUCUGAGAAAGUGAUUCCCUUAAGCGCACGGCCCAAUGAAACAGGAGGUGUGUGACGGUGCAGUGUGGUGGGGAGGAGGCAGGAGACAAGCAAACAAAUCAUAGAAGAAUGAUAGUAGAGGGGAUGGAUCCAGUCAAGGGGGUGAAAGAGAAGCAGCAUACACAUUGGAACGGACAGGAAAAACGUUUGAUGAUCCACAUCGGGGAGAGCUGAUUUCUCCAACACCAAAUUGCUAACUGUUUGGACAGAGAAAAAGACUACUCUACUGUAAAGUGCAAAUGAGGGCUAUGGGAACGUGCAAUAGCAGGGAUGAUGUACUAGUCUAGCAUUUUCACAAUGAAAUGGCAGCUGCAGUCGCAGCACAGCCAGCUGCAAAACAAAAACAAAAGUUUGUGAUAUCUGUUUGAAUCGCGAGAGACUAUUAAGCAUAUUUAUAUUUUUUAUUUAGCUGACGCGUUUAUCCAAAGCGACUUACAACAAGUGCAUUCAACCAAGAGGGUACAGACCAAACCACCAAAAAACAAGAAAGUAGUUUUUCAGGUAAGCCAAACUACAAAGUGCGUCAUGAGUAAGUGUCGUCGAAAGUGCUACUAAGUCCCAGCUACUCCAGAUGUGGUCACGCUGGAGCAUGAUGCUUUGAUAGAACCCGACUACAACAGAAAGCAGUGCUUAGCCAAAAGUUCUGAGUGAUAGUUUUCCACUGCAAUGAAAGAAAAUGUAAGUUACCACUUUUUACAUUACGACGCAGAAUGUAAAAACAACAUUGGUCACACACUAAGGGAGCUAGUAAUGAAUACCUAGCGAAAGAAAUAUUGAUCUGAGGCAUUGUGACCAGAAAGAUGUCAAUGUAAUGUUGAGGUCAACUAUAUGAGCCAAAAAACAACGGCAUCACCGUUUACAUAAAUGUUCUCAUGAGCAAGGCAGUGAGUGGGCACUUUCCCGGCCUGUCAGGUGAAAGGUUGUGGAAACGACUUGGGUGGCAGCUAACAGCGUGAUGCUAGUGCAUGAAACAUGAAGAGUGAUGCUUGUAAUGCAGGAUGCAAUGGGACUGAUUCACACAGGAGACAGAGAGGCGUUUGUGUUCCCGUUGCUGGCCCCAGUCACUACAGCUUCAGUGGUCAGAAGAAUUCCCCUGUGCCACGCUGAGUUGAAUAAUUUGUCAUGAAUCAACGUGCCUGUAUUAAGCGCUUCCCUCUGCUUGAUUUGUAAUUGAACAAUAAAACAGUCUGAGUUAAAAGUCCCAAACAACUUUAUUUGCACUUCUACACGGCCAUCAUGGAGUCCAUCCUCUGCUCCUCCAUCACCGUCUGCUACGCUGCAGCCACAGCCAAGGACAAGGGCAGGCUGCAGCGCGUCAUCCGCUCUGCAGAGAGGGUGAUCGGCUGCAACCUGCCGUCUCUCCAGGACUUGUUCGCUUCCAGGAUGUAGAAAAAAGAUUGUGGCCGACCCCUGUUUGUGUCCCUUCCAUCUGGCAGGAGGCUUUGUCUUAUUGUCCAAUGUUAUGCACCCAGCGUCAUGUCAAAUUCCCUGUAUGUCCAACAUACUGUGGCAAUAAAUAUUCCUGAUUCCUGAUUGUUGUAAUGUAAAAAGGUCAUCAGAUUGAAACAACUACAUUAAGGUACGGGGUGAGAACCUUGCAAGUUCAUUUAGUUUUAGCGUAAGAAUUCAACGAGGCAACCGCUAAAUGUUCUACUAGCGUGAGGAAACUGAUGAAUUGAUUGAUGCGUGUCUCCCACAUCCUUGCUUCAAAGGGCCUGAUAGAUACCCUCGCAGUACGGCUAUACCAACUGAGGAACGCCACAAUUACAGAAUGUACGGUAAUAGUUCCCUACAGGGGACACCAAGAGAAUAAAACAAUAUCAUGCCUUGAAAUGACUGACAAAGGAGCCUGACCAGAUGUAUUUGAUUGAGAAGACAGUCUAACAGUUAAUUGUAGCAGAGCUACAUGGAAUGCAUGCAAAGCGCAUGAGACCCCUGCGAGGAGGCGCCGCUGGGCUCAGAUAUCUUCUUGUAGCUGCGAACCGCAUAGUGGAAACCAAAUUUUGACCUGCACUGUGACCCGGAGUAAACGAUGAGACAGCAGAAAGAAGAUGAUAGGCUAACGGUGUAAUUGUCUCGUUGUACUAUUGUAUAGAAGAGACCAGCUGCUCAGAACAGCUGAUAUCUAGAUUGUCAGCUCGAGCAACAAUAGCCAGGAAAUGAUUAGUGAGAGGAAUGAACGGCAGAUGUAUGAGAAAUGUACCACAGGCCCAAUCACUAUGAGAUCAGCAUGCCAGUCUAGGAAAAGCAAUAGAAAUAGUUGACUGAAGGACUGACUAGAGAAGGGAGACUGAGAUUGGAGUACCUGUAGCAGCUAAUGUAGUCUUGAACCUCCAGCCUCCAGCAAAAGAAGCAUAAAAAACUGGUAGAUUUCACGUUUAAAUCACCAGGCGAAACAUUACAUUACACUGAUACGCUCUUCAAGUACUCAAACUAUGAUCCAAUGCAGAGGCGAGUCUCCCCAAACUCUACAGGAAUAGAAUCUGCAGGCUAAUGAGCACUAUCUCGAGUCGACUAUCUCUUCUCUGUUACAAGAGCAACGGUCUCCUUCGGUGUCUUUGGUAUUCUUUGGCAGACGUUGUGUAUGCACAGGAACUCUGAGGAAAAGCUAGUAUGUACGGUAAAGAUGAGUAGCUACAGUGACGCCUGAUGCUAUUUAGGGGUGAAAUGCUUCCAUUCCCAUCAACAGCCAUUAGUUGACGGGACAAGAGAAGAGCUUUUGCCAAUGUUGGACUCAGGGGGCGGGGCUCCGACUAUUUCCUGGAAGCAUUACAUAUCAGUGGUGACCGAGUACAUGCCGAGCACCAAAAAACUGUGUUGACUCAUAUUGUUGCCAGCACUUAUGGGGGGAUGGGGGGAUGGGAGCGGAGGGAUGGAAAGCAGACAGCUGAGUGCCGGGUCAGGGUUAAUGGAUAACGUCCCCCUGGACCAGAGACGACGACUGGUAUUCAUCUCUAGUGCACUCAUCAUUCAGGUCACAUGAGCUGAUGCGACUCUUUCAGCUUUGUGUGGCAGAAAACAAAUGGUGACAUUGAGGAGACUGCUUGUAACUUAUCUUUUUCCUUUCAUUAAAAAAAGAAUACCUUCAUUUUGACAGAACAAACCAGAUCUUUUCCCCGUUUGAGCAACAGGAUCAAUCCUGAAUCAACGCAUAAUUUACUUCUGAAAAUAAAAAAUAAGUAGGAACCAGGAAUCUGUCAGGUUGUUCUGAGGCCAGAGAGACUAACAGAACACUUUCCAGACUGAGAUGAAUGAAUCCAUCAAGCAGAAUCAAGUGUAGCUGCUUAGGGAGCCGCCGGCACUGAAGAACACUCCACAUAUUAUUACUCAAGGUCAAGUAUGAAGCAGCUCCCAUUAGAACGCUGCUGGGAAGCAUCCUGGCUAAGUGUGUCAAAGACGACUUUCAAUGUUGCUGUAGAAUCUAAUUAUCAAGGAAAGCACUUAGCAGGUGAUUAUAUUACUCCAGGACAAGACACUUUGAAAAGAGCAAGCCUUUUGCAUUAAUUUAUCAAUUAGGGAUGGCUAUGAAAAUCCGUCAGUCGUCGUUCUAUCCUUUUCAGACCGGGAAGCUAUGAAAUUGACUGUCCUUCCAUUGGGUUUACAGCUAAAUAGAAGUCAAUCUAAGAUAACAUUCCCAUUACCCACAGCGAUACUUUUUUUAAUGGCAAACGUCAGCAUGAACACAAAUGCUCCUUAACAUGUGUUGUUCAGCAAGACUUAAAAAAGUACCUCCAAUGCCUUCAAAACUUCUACGAUCAUUAACUUAGUGUUUAGGCAGCAGAAUAAUUGUUGCAUGGUCAAACAGAUUAGUUUAAUUUGUGUGUCCGCCACAAAAAAAGAUACAAAUUGAUAUUCCAUUGGCAUGGAAAAAACUAAACCUUUUGUUUGUUUGUUGGGAUUUUGAAGUGAAAUCAGACUGUUGCAACUUGUUUUAGGGGGACUGCUGGAAUGAGUCCUGAAUUCUGGCAAUGAGUCAACAAUUUUUCAUUUCCAGUCUCCCAGUCUCAAUAGUUUUAGUCAAUAGUUUUUCUUUUAACUGGUAUUUGGGUGAAUGCCUGGAAUAAUGUCUUUGGUUUUACUCUCCAACAUCCGGUAUGUCAACACCCUUGAUGAAUUCUAACCCUCCUACAUGUUGUUAAAGUGGCAAGUGGCUAAAUGCAGACUAGUCGGCCUUAAGCGAAGUUAUACCAAUUUUGCAGUUGCAUUUUUGGGCUAUAGAAUAUAACGGAAAAAUCCCAUUGGUAUUUUGUUCAGGGAACUGAGGUCAAUCAUGCUAACAUGGAGGAAUUUUGGCCCACUCUUCCAAAAAGUUCCACUUCUCAUCAGGUCUCAUCAGCCCACAGAAUAUUUGGCCAAAAAUAUUGAACAUUUUAUUUUGGCAAAUGUGAGAGGAGCUUUUGUGUUCUUCUGUGUCAGCAGCGGCUUUCGUCUCUCUGACCUGAGGCCAGUGAGGCACUUCUUCACAUUCUGGCGUCCUUGAUGACCUCCUCGAUAAGUCGUCGAUGCGCUCUUGGAGUAAGUUCCAAGUCUUCUCCAUUUGUGGUUAACGUCUCUCUACGUGGUUCUCUGGUCCCAAAGCCUUCAGAACGGCUCUGUAAACCUUCCCAGACUGAUGCAUGUAUGUCAAUUACUUUCUUUCUCAUCACGUUUCAUUAACGAUUUUGUCACACCUUCUCCAGCGACAACCCAAAAGCAGGCGUAGAUAUAGUCCAGGUGAGUAUUUAUCGACAAGGGAAGUGGUUUUGCCAACGUGCAGACAGGAGAAUGCUGGUGGUGUCGUGGUGAGGGAAAAACAAUGGGUCAGUACACAAACGACUACUACAAGGAGUAAGAUGAAUUCAAUGGUUGCGGCUUGAUACGCGAGCUAAACAUACUGGUAUGGCUAACGAUCCGGCAGGGACUGGAUGUCAGGUCUCUGCCUAAAUGCUGUGGUGGUGCUCGUCAGGGCCAGGUGUGUGAUUGGGCACAGGUGCGAGCCGACGCUGUUGAUCUUGUCGUUGCUUGGCAACCGGAAAUAAAUCAACAGACCAGGAAACCCUACUCAGGGAGCAGGGGUCAUGACAGAUUUAUCAAGAGGGGCAAACACUUUUCCAGAAUCUGUCUUCGUCUAAUGUAAAAAAUGUAUUUUAUUCAAAACAUGUAAGUGUGACAAAUAUGCAAAGAAAAGAAAAAACAGUUCCUGUUUCCCUCCAUCUAUCCAUCUCCGUGUGGGAAGAUUAUGGAGGUGAUGGGCUUGGUUAACAGCUAUGAGAAAGGUAGAAGAAAAAGAUGUGAAAAGAGGAAUGGAAAGUAUCCAGCGAGAGAGAGAGAGAGAGAGAGAGAGAGAGAGAGAGAAUGUGGAGCCUUCAGAAACUAGAGUAAGGGAGGGAAAUGGGGGGCGUCUAAAUGAGGGAAACGAGAUAACGAGAGGAAGGAGAGAGAGUGAAGGAACGAGGGCUGAGAAGUCAGAGCAAAUGAGUGUGAAUUUGUGGAGAGGGGAGAAUAAGAGAGGAAACAUUGUGAAUAGUGUGUAGGUGUGUGUGUAAAGUGCAGAGAACACGCAGGGCGACGGCAGGCUGUGCUGCAUGAUCAGCACUGCUAUUUAUAGAUCUGUGCAAACAGGAUCUGUGCAGCAGCCUGCAGACCUGCACGAUUAUCUCUCUUAAUACUGUGUCACGUUAUCAGGGAGGGACGUUGUUGUGAUGGGCUUUGUCAAUGUAUUUCUUGCUCUUUUCCUCAUACAAACAUUUUGCACUUGCAGUAAACAAGUGGUGAGACCUCAGCAUGCCUCAAACGAAGUGCCAACAGACGCACGCGUCUGCACACUUAUCUUUGGAAUAAGGCAUGACAUUAAACUUUCAGUCAUACAUUUUUCUUUUUUUAUACAUAUACUUACAUAACUUUUAAAGGCUUCAAAAUGGCAAAAGUGGCCAUCAGAAGAUGGUACACUGUGGUCAUAAAGGGAUGGACAUGGUCAGUAACAACACUCAGGCUGCAGCAUUUAAAUGAUGCUCAAUUGAUACCAAGGGGCCCAAAGUGUGCCAAGAAAAUAUCCCCCCCCCCACCAUCAGCCACCUUCUCCCCCCACCUACACCACCAGCAGAUUGAAGCGUUGCCGGAUGGAUCCAUGCAUUCAUGUUGUUUACUCCAACCAUCUGAAUGUCUCAGACCAGACCGUGUUUUGAAUCUUCUACUGUCCCUUUGUGGUGAGCCUGUGUGAGCUGUAGGCCCAGUUUCCUGUUGCUAGCAGACAGGAGGGCCCCCCCCCCCCGGAGUGGUGGUCUGCUGCUGUAGCCCGUCUUCUUCAAGGUUCCUCGUGUUGCGCGUUCAGAGAUGGUGUUCUUCAUUCCUUAAGUUGUAACGAGUGGUUCUUUGAGUUCCUGCUGCCUUUCUAUCAUCUCCAACCGGU